CCAAUAGCGUAUAUUAAAGUUGUUGCAGUUAAAAAGCUCGUAGUUGAAUUUUAGGCCUGGCCGGAUGGUCCGUCUUUGGCGAGUACUGUUCUGUCGUCGGGUCUAUCCUUCUGGUGAGCCGGGAUGCCCUUUAUUGGGUGUGUCGGGGAACUAGGACCAUUACCUUGAAAAAAUUAGAGUGUUUAAAGCGGGCAUUUGCUUGAAUAGAUUAGCAUGGAAUAAUAGAAUAGGACGUUUGUUCUAUUUUGUUGGUUUUAGGACCACAGUAAUGAUUAAUAGGGAUAGUUGGGGGCAUUAGUAUUCAAUUGUCAGAGGUGAAAUUCUUGGAUUUAUUGAAGACUAACUAUUGCGAAAGCAUUUGCCAAGGAUGUUUUCAUUAAUCAAGAACGAAAGUUAGGGGAUCGAAGACGAUCAGAUACCGUCGUAGUCUUAACCAUAAACUAUGCCGACUAGGAAUCGGGCGACGUUAUUUCAUGACUCGCUCGGCGCCUUAUG
rnacentral:misc_RNA from 1 species